rnacentral:sRNA from 1 species
GCCGGGCAUGGUGGCGCAUGCCUGUAAUCCCAGCUACUUGGGAGGCUGAAGCAGAAGAAUCAUUUGAGCCCGGGAGGCGAAGGUUGCAGUGAGCUGAGAUUGCACCACUGCACUCCAACCCGGGUGACAGAGUGAGACUCCGUCUCAA